GAGUUUGAUCCUGGCUCAGGAUGAACGCUGGCGGCGUGCCUAAUACAUGCAAGUCGAGCGAACGGACGAGAAGCUUGCUUCUCUGAUGUUAGCGGCGGACGGGUGAGUAACACGUGGGUAACCUACCUAUAAGACUGGGAUAACUCCGGGAAACCGGGGCUAAUACCGGAUAACACAUGAAACCGCAUGGUUUCAUGAUGAAAGACGGUCUUGCUGUCACUUAUAGAUGGAUCCGCGCUGCAUUAGCUAGUUGGUAAGGUAACGGCUUACCAAGGCAACGAUGCAUAGCCGACCUGAGGGGUGAUCGGCCACACUGGAACUGAGACACGGUCCAGACUCCUACGGGAGGCAGCAGUAGGGAAUCUUCCGCAAUGGGCGAAAGCCUGACGGAGCAACGCCGCGUGAGUGAUGAAGGUCUUCGGAUCGUAAAACUCUGUUAUUAGGGAAGACAUAUGUGUAAGUAACUGUGCACAUCUUGACGGUACCUAAUCAGAAAGCCACGGCUAACUACGUCG
rnacentral:rRNA from 1 species